GAACUGAAACAUCUAAGUACCUGGAGGAAGAGAAAGAAAAAUCGAUUUCCUGAGUAGCGGCGAGCGAAACGGAAAGAGCCCAAACCAAGAAGCUUGCUUCUUGGGGUUGUAGGACACUCUAUACGGAGUUACAAAAGAAAGUUAUAAAUGAAGCGGUCUGGAAAGGCCCGCCAAAGACGGUAACAGCCCGGUAGUUGAAAUGGCUUUCCCUCCAGAGUGGAUCCUGAGUACGGCGGAACACGUGAAAUUCCGUCGGAAUCCGGGAGGACCAUCUCCCAAGGCUAAAUACUCCCUAGUGACCGAUAGUGAACCAGUACCGUGAGGGAAAGGUGAAAAGCACCCCGGAAGGGGAGUGAAACAGUUCCUGAAACCGUGU
rnacentral:rRNA from 1 species